rnacentral:piRNA from 1 species
UGAUUACUGUGGGGAUGGUGCUGUGCAUU